UUAUUGCGAUGUUGUGUUACUCCUAGUGCCCAGUGAUAACACUUACAUUAAUACUUUUCUGGACAAUCUUUGGAUGUUCAUUAGGUUAUCUAUUUCGCUUAUUGCGUUGUUGUGUUAGUCCUAGUACCCAGUGACAACACUUACACGAGUAUAUUUUCCUGUUUACUUUAUUUUGUGAUAUGUCACAUAAACGAUGAGUUAGACUAAGUACUUUAGUACUAGUCAAUAGAAGGAAAAACUAUCAUUUUACUUACAAAACAUUCGGGUCUCGUUUGAAGACUACAUUUCAUAAUAAUAGAAAAUAAGGGAUUUUCUAGGGCUUUUUGAUACUUAUAUCAACAUUUUCAUUUAAAGGUUUACAUGACUUUUAAAAUAGCUUUUCAAAGCAAGACAAUGACACUUAAAUACUUAUGAAUUCACCAGCUUUAAAGCUGAUACUCUCUUUCAAAAUAACUUGUAUUCUCAGGUCAUCAGUAGACAGGUAUGGUGGCCAAGUUUUGAGAAGACGGAGCAGACAAGUCUCGUCUUUUAUUUUGAUUAUAUAUUUUUGGUGUCUUAUUACAAUGAAAGAACACACAUGUAUUAAAACUUUACUUAUGAUGCAAUGGAUGAUGUUGUUGCUUGUUUACUAUAUUACACUGUUGUGAUACUGUACAUGACGUCCUCCACCCCUGAACGUUUCCGCCGUUCGUGGUUUUGGGGUGUGACAGAUUGGUAUCAGAGCAUUGUUUAUAGUGAAUAAAGUAUGUCAACCCAUAAAAGAUAUACUAACUAUAAAUACAAUGGGAUUAAAACAAUCUGUCUAAGAGUUAUACUUUUAAAUAAUAAAAUAUUUAACAAAGUAUACGUGCCUGCAUUCAUACUAAAACGAGUGUCACAAUGAUAAGAACAAAAGUAUUACGAUUGUUGAAUAUCACAAGUAAGCCUGGGGAUAUAUGGUCAGUCUCGGGAAUGGCAUAACCUGAUCAACUAUGCUGGUCCGAGGAGUGAUUAGCAUAUGCCCAAGAAUGGUUGUGAUAUGGCAACAAGUCUAAAAACUUACCAACACAACCAUAAAGAAAUACCAUACGGGAUCCGUACUUCCCAAACCAAGGCAAUGCUGGUUGGCUAGAGGUAGAACCAGAAGAUGAUCACCAAAUCCCUUUGGAUGAUCACCAUGCUGAGGGCUUAUCCGAUGGUUCUGACUCGGAGCCUGAAGUCAACAACCUACCCCCGGAUGCUCAAAACCCAAACCUGAACCCCCGUCCUGGGUUUCAAGGACCCACACCUCUAUUGGCCACUAACUUGACUAGAUGGAGUCAGAAACAAGGUCAACCCAUUCCCUACAAUGGAUACCGAAGUUUCUACAACCUCACUAAAGGAGGUUCUGCUUACAGGUUCCUUCCCUUCAUGGUUCGCAGAAUUUCUAGAAACACGAUACUGGGUCAAGAAACUAUUGACCGGGUCGUGGAGAUUGAAGCCAACUCUGGCGUUAACAUUGUCCACAUUUGCCAAUUGGAGUCUGGUCAUGAAAGGACUCUGGUCCGCAAUGCAAAUCUGCAGAGGGAACUUGCUGAAACUCGAGCUGAAGUUAGAGAACUUCGAGCUCAGCAAGCAAGGACGGAUAGGCGUAUAAGGGAAAUUGAACAUCUACUGUCGGGAUCAAGGACUCAUGCUAGCAGUUCUCGUCGCCGAUAGAAUCUCGUCAACUCAUCUUUUGGAUAUAACCUAGUUUAUGUAAAACUUUGGUCUAAUUUCCUGUCUUUAUAAAUCUUAGACCUGUUAGGUCUUGAUCUAGUCUUAAUUCUGUCAAAAUUUUCCAUCUUGGUUGAUGUAAGGCCUACUUCUAGGCCAUUUUUCCCAAACUUGUUACAUCUGUAAUUCCAGUAUUGACAGAUAUCUAAUCUUCUGGAAAUUAUAAUCCAAAUGCUGUCAUCUGCAUUUAGUCAUUCUAUUCAUUCUGUUGUUGGGCUAUGGGGAGUUAAUCCAUGAAACACAUUCAUUGUUCAUUUAUUCUUAUCCAUGUUGUCAUCUUUUAAACGUAUAGUUAAAGAUGCCGCCACAUAGAAAUACAAGGCGUAACCCAAACAACGAAGCACCGAUACCACCACCUCCACCACCACCUGAACCUCUUCAACCACCUAAUCCUUUCGAUGCCAAUAUGUUCCAGGCAGCUUUCACAGCAGCAGUUGCAGCUGCUAUGUCAGCAAUCAACUCUCUUGCCCCUAGUGGAUCAGGAGCAGGUGCACCUCCCUCGAACCACGGCGAAAGCCAUGGACACCCUCGGGAAUGCACCUACGAGGACUUCACAAACGCCAAACCCUGCGGCUUUAAUGGAACUGAGGGUGUUAUGGUGUUGAGACAAUGGAUUGAAAAGAUGGAAUCCGUCUUUGAAAUCUGUGCUUGCCAGGAGGGCAACAAGGUCAAGUUUGCAGCUUGUACCUUCUCUAACAGAGCAUGGUGGAACGGCCAUGUUAACUACCUGAAUUUGGUGGUGGCGUAUUCCAUCAGCUGGGAAAAGUUAAAGGACAUGCUGAUGAAAGAGUACUGUCCUCGAGGUGAAGUAGAGAAACUCGAACAGGAAUUAUGGGGUCUACAAAUGGUUGGAUCCGACAUCACAACCUACACAAGUAGGUUCUGUGAUCUGGCAAACCUAUGCCCUGAUAUGGUUGCUCAAGGGAGCAAGAAGAUAAAGAGAUAUAUCUGGGGACUGUCGCCCCAGAUCCAGGCAAGUGUGUUAGCAUCCAGGCCUAUUACUUUCGAUAGCGCCAAGGAACUGGCACAAUCUCUCAUAGAUCACAUGAAACCUCAGAACCCAACAAUCCCUGCAUCCGUACCACCGAAGGACAACAACAACAAGAAAGGGUGGUCUAAGAGGAAAAGAGGGGCGUCGCAAGAAUCCUCCAAGAGACAACAACUUGUGGCAAUCAAUGAUGCCACAGUUACUCCCGUUGUCCCUACGAACCCCUUACCAGCAAAAACUUAUGUUGGAUCUCUCCCGAAGUGCAACAAAUGCAGCUUCCACCACCGCGGACCUUGCAGGGAGAUGUAGUGCUCUAAUUGCAACAGGAAGGGGCACACAACCCGUUUCUGCUAGGCUCCAACAGCUCAGGCCGCCCAGGUUCCUAAUGCUGGUAUGGGCCAAACUUGCUACGGUUGUGGCGAGGUGGGCCACUACAAGAGGAACUGCCCUAAAGCGGGGGUGACUGGCGGGGUAGGAAGAGUUAUGGCCCUAGGCCACGAGGAAGCAGUAGCUGAUCCUAUGAUAGUUACUGGUACGUUUCUCCUUGAUAACUCAUAUGCUUGCAUAUUAUUCGAUAGUGGAGCAGAGAAAAGUUUCGUAAGUCAUAAAUUUGCACACCUGCUUAAACAAAAACCAUGCGCAUUAAAUAAUUCAUUCACGGUAGAAAUGGCUAACGGGAAAACAAAGAGUACAAACUGCAUAUACGUAGGUUGUACCUUAACUUUAGAUAGCCAUACUUUCAAGAUAGAUCUCAUGCCGGUCUCAAUUAAAUGUUUCGACGUUAUCAUCGGUAUGGAUUGGUUGAGUCUUCUUCGUGCCGACAUCAUGUGCUUUGAAAAAGCAGUUCGUCUUAACCUUCCUAACAACGAAACCUUAAUUAUCUACGACGACAAACCUAGUACGAGCCUUCGCAUCAUUUCGUGCAUUCAAGCUUAGAAGUGCUUGCGAAAGGAGUACCAUGCAUUCCUUGCACACGUCGUUGAUACAAGUCAAGAAACGAAAAACAUUUAGGACAUCCCCGAAGUACGCGACUUCCUCGACAUCUUCCCAGAAGUACUUCUCGGUUUACCACCGCAACGCCAAGUCGAUUUCAGAAUCGACUUAGUGCCAGGAGCUACCCCAGUAUCCAAAUCUCCUUAUCGUCUGGCACCGUUCGAGAUGCAGGAACUUUCCAGUCAACUUAAUGAACUUCUCAAGAAGGGAUUCAUUCGAUCAAGCUUCUCACCAUGGGGAGCACCGGUCUUGUUCGUCAAGAAGAAAGAUGGAUCGUUUCGCAUGUGCAUCGACUAUAGAGAACUCAACAAAUUUACCAUUAAAAAUCGUUAUCCUUUGCCCCGCAUUGACGAUUUAUUUGAUCAACUUCAAGGAGCCAACUACUUCUCGAAGAUAGAUCUACGAUCCGGAUAUCACCAACUACGAGUGUUAGAGGAGGAUGUUCCCAAGACAGCCUUCCGAACUCGUUAUGGGCACUAUGAAUUUGUAGCGAUGCCGUUUGGAUUAACUAACACGCCCGCAGUAUUCAUGGAUCUGAUGAAUAGGGUGUGUCGUCCUUACUUGGAUCAGUUCUCCAUCGUCUUCAUUGAUGACAUACUCAUCUACUCUCAAAGUAAGGAGGAGCAUAGUCAACAUCUCCGUAAAAUCUUAGAAACAUUGCGGUCGGAGAAGCUCUACGCGAAGUUCUCCAAGUGCGAAUUUUGGAUUCAGCAAGUCAAAUUUUUGGGCCAUGUUGUUAGCGAAGAGGGAAUACAUGUGGACCCUUCCAAAAUUAAGGCCAUCGAGAACUGGUCAGCACCGAAGACACCUAAAAAAAUUCGUCAAUUUCUAGGUCUGCCUGACUACUAUCGCAGGUUCAUUCAGAACUUCUCCCGCAUAGCAAAACCUCUUACAACACUGACCUAGAAGGGCGUAGCCUUUGACUGGGAAGAGAAACAAGAAAGAGCGUUCUAAAUGCUCAAGCGAGCCUUAUGCACCACACCAAUACUGUCCCUCCCCGAAGGGAUAGAAGACUUCGUGGUUUAUUGUGACGCAUCAAAUCAAGGGCUAGGAUGUGUUCUGAUGCAGCGAGGUAAAGUCAUAGCCUAUGCCUCGAGACAGCUGAAGACACAUGAGGUUAACUACACUACCCACGAUCUUGAGCUAGGAGCAGUUGUGUUAACUCUGAAGAUCUGGCAACACUACCUAUAUGGUAUAAAAAGCACGAUCUUUACAGACCAUAAGAGUCUACAACACAUUUUCGACCAGAAGGAGCUCAACAUGAGACAACGACGGUGGGUAGAGCUACUCAGUGAUUACGAGUGCGAAAUUCAUUAUCAUCCGGAUAAAGCCAAUGUAGUAGUCGACGCCCUAAGUCGGAAAGAAUAUUCUGGUCGUAGGGUCAAAUCUUUGACUCUAACUAUCCAUUCACACUUGUCCACGCAAAUUAAAGAGGCUCAACUCGAUGCUUUGAAACCUGAAAACAUGGCUGGUGAAUCCCUUAGAGGAAUGGAUAAGAACUUGGAAGUCAAGGGUGGCGGAGCCUUGUACCUCAUGGAUCGGAUCUGGACNACGGUGGCUUCAGAGACUUGGUCAUGACCGAAGCUCACAACACUCGUUAUUCCGUCCACCCGGGUUCAGAUAAGAUGUAUCUGGAUCUUAAAAAGUUAUACUGGUGGCCUAACAUGAAAGCAGAUAUUGCUACCUUCGUGAGUAAAUGCCUUACUUGCGCAAAGGUCAAGGUCGAAUACUAGAAACCCUCCGGUAUCCCACAACAACUGGAGAUACCAGAAUGGAAGUGGGAGCGGAUCACUAUGGACUUCAUAACCAAGUUGCCCAAGACGACGGGUGGACUUGAUUCCAUAUGGGUCAUCAUCGAUAGACUGACCAAGUCUGCACACUUCCUGCCGAUCAAAGAAACAGACAAGAUGGAGAAACUUACCAGAACUUACAUUAGGGAGAUUGUAAGGCUGCACGGUGUUCCUUUAUCUAUCAUCUCGGACAGAGAUAGUAGAUUCACUUCGAGGUUCUCGCAGUCAUUACAAAGUUCCCUAGGAACUAGGCUGGACGUGAGUACAGCCUACCAUCCACAGACCGACGGGCAAAGUGAGAGAACUAUCCAGACCUUAGAAGUUAUGUUGCGUGCCUGUGUGAUUAACUUUGGAAAAGCUUGGGAUAACCAUUUACCCCUCGUCGAAUUUUCCUACAACAACUGUUAUCACACGAGCAUAAACGCAGCUUGUGACAACCCGAAAUUUCCAUUUGUACGAACAAUAUCUAUUCAAUAGAAGCCAGUCCAGUUUCAGUGAUUUUCAGACUUUUCCGAACAAGUUUGUGUACGUUAGGGUUUACGUUUCAGGAGAUAUCAGGAGAGUGGAUGCUCCUGGGUUUGUGAAACUUGAACAUUCCAAGUUUCAUAAUGUCAUAGUCCAAUUUCCGGAAUAAAAAUAUUUUCUGCCAAAAUAUUUCAGGACUAUAAAUAGAUUUCUGAAUUAAAUUAAUUCAUUAUUCACAAUUCCAACUAGAGAAAAGCCAUUUUCUCUCUGACGGAUCUUCGGGUUUUCAUCCCAGAUUGUGAGUCUACUUUCCUAGAUGUGUUUUAUUACUUGUUUUAUGCUUUAUAACAUAGAUUACAUGUCUAAAAUGCAAGAUCCGGGAGUUUACCGCCCAAGAACGUUCUUGGGGAGUAAACUCCAAAAUGGAGCUUUAAGGCUACCUAGUCCCGUUUCCUUGUUAGGCAACUAGUUAAGGACUUAAUGUAUAAACAUUAGAGGCUAGAAAUCAUCCAAGAUCAUAAGGCUUUUGGAGUUUACGGCCCAAGAGUUCUUGGACCGUAAACACCAUUUCCAAGGGCCAAAGUGAGCCUAAAUCGCACCCUAAGGCUUAAGGCAUUUACCCUCUAAUGCUUGUAGCUAAUUUGGACACCAAAACACUUCAAAAUCAUAAGGUUUUAGGAGUUUACGGCCAAGGAUAUCUCUUGGGCCGUAAACCCCUUUUUAAGGGCUAUAAGUGCCCUAAAUCACCCCUAAGGCUUUGAGACAAUUACCCUUGAAUACAUAGGACUUGAAUGGGGAGUAAAUGACAUCAAAAUCAUCCCUUAAAGAAAGUUUACGGCCAAGGAACAUCAGUUGGGCCGUAAACUCCAAGUAAAGGCACAAAUGUGUGCCUAAUGUCCCCUUUAGCCUUAGAUAAAAACAUAGAAGCUAUCCUACAUGUGCAAGUGACUUAAAAGAAUUAAAAACCAACACCCCAUAGGAGUUUACGGUCGUAAAAUCUAGGGGAUAUGGUCUUUAGGCCGUAAACUCCUCUAUGGAGCAUUCUAGGGCCUUAAACUACUUCAAGGAUUAUUCCAACAAUGCUAGGCUAAAUCUAGGAUUAAUAUAGCACUUCAAAACACCCAAAACCACCAAGUGAGGAGUUCAUGGCCGUAAACUCAUGGGUUCACGGGAGUAAACUCCAAAGGUGGGGUUUGUUGGGUGGUAAACUAUUAUACAAGGUCAUUUGGUGCUUCAAACCCCUUUGCCUUGUCCCGUAUCGACUUAGAUGCAACCCUUAUGACCUAUAACAUUUAUGCAAAGUGUUUUCAUGUUCCUAAGUGUCCCAACUUAUUUUAUUAAGUUAUUAUUUGGCUAAUUAGUUAUAUAUAUGCUUAUUAUAUGAUAACUAGGCUCGUGCGUGUAAACAAGUCUCCGUUUGCCACCUAGCACGGUAUCCGACACUGCAAUUCAAACAGCUCACCACAAGUGAGUUCAUACCCCUUUAAUCAACCUUUGAAAUGAUUUUAAAUGUUUUAAAUACUUUAUGGGGGGGAUACAAGUUAAAUACUUAUAGUUAUUGCUUCAAUCACAUGUGAUUGCAUUAAUCACAUGUGAUUAAUAACUAAGAAACCAAUGAUUUUAUCACUGUUCAAACUGUUUAUCAAACUGUUUUACUUCCAAAUGUUUUACAAGCCCUUUUACUCUUCAAACUUAUUUACAACCAUGAUUCAAACAAAUGUUCCUUAUAUUUAAAAUGUUUUAUCAAACUUAUGCCUUCAAAUUGUUUUUUUAUAGAUUGACAUUAAGUCGAUCUUUUCUUGAAAUAAUAUUUAUGUUCCAAAUGUCUUAUAAAAACUAUGCAUUUACAUCUUAUAAAUUGCAUGCCCAUAUAUGUAUAGAUGUAUAAAUAAUGUUUAAAGGGCUUAGGAAUGCCAUCCGCCCUAUUUCCUUUUCCUCGAUUUGGAUGUGGUCUGGUGGGAUUUCGGGUGACCAUCCGAAGGUCGUUUCAAUAUUAAUUAUAUAUCAAAUAUACAUAUAUAGACAUAAAAGUACUCCCAUAUUCAUACGUAAUAGACACAUCAUUAGUUAGUUACCAUCGGGGUAACACAGGAUCAUACAUAUACAACUAUACUAUGAGAACAUAUACAACUAUACUACGAGAACAUAUACAACUAUACUACGAGAACAUAUACAACUAUACUAGGAGGAGAACAUAUACAACUAUACUAGAACUAGAAGCAUUACAUUACAUAUACGAGAAUACGUUAACAAUUGUGAUCCACUGUAUCGGAACAUGCCUUAAAUGUCAUGUCCCGAGUUGUAGCCAGAAUUCUCUUGGAGGGAGAGCGUGAGUUUGCGUAUAGAUCUAUACUGGAUUGACUAUCCUACACCUUGCUGCUAGCUACAGCCGGACCUGCAGGUCUGCGGGUGCCAAACGUCAUUCCGUUAUUACGACCAUUCGUAUGUCGUUGUUACCAGUCGAUAGUAUGGUGCAAUUAUCACAUUAUACCUUAAUAUAAAUCCGGUUUAAGGUAGUUAGUACAACAGUAGUUCCUAUAAAACAAAACUACAGUACUACAAUGAUUUACCCAUUACAUAUUUUUAGUGAUAACCUCACUUAAACAUUAAUGUACAAACUAUAUUUUGUUAAAUGAUAGUUACACUUGGGAAAUUACACACUUUUACAACAAACGAGCAUACAAAACAGUUAAGCCUUGGUAGAAGGCUACUUUAAUAGAAAAUAUAGGUUUUUCUGAGAGAUUCAAACUUUUACAAACACUUACAUACAUUUUACAAACUUAUACUUGAGACACGUUCAAACGAUUUUAAUAACAAACACCGACACUAAAAUACUUAUGAACUCACCAGCUUAAUGCUGAUAAACUCUUUCAAAAUAACUUGUAUUCUCAGGUCAUCAGUAGACAGGUACCGAUGCCAGCUUUUGAGAAGAUGGAGCGCAUUCAAGACUCAUCAUAUUAUUUUGAUUUACAUUAUAUUUUUGGUGUCUAAAACUGUACAGAACACGCUUGUAUUAAAAUUAUAUAUUUAAUGCAAUGGAUGAUGUUGUUUGCUUAUUUACAUUUACUGUGUUGUGAUACUUUACAUGACGUCCUCCGCCCCAGAACGUUUCCGCCGUUCUUGGUUUUGGGGUGUGACAGAUUGGUAUCAGAGCAUUGUUUAUAGUGAAUCAAGUAUAUCAACCCAUAAAAGAUAUACUAAACUAUAAACCCAUUAGGGAUUAAAGCACUCUGACCAAGAGUCUAUACUUUAAAUAUUAAAAUAUUUAAUUAAGUAUACUAGUCUGCAUUCAUACUAAAAUCAGUGUCACAAUGACAAGAACAAAAGUAUUACGAUUGUUAAAUAUCACAAGUGAGCUCGGGGAUGUAUGGUCAGUCCUGGGAAUGGCAUAGCCUGAUCAACUAUGCUGGUCCUAGGAGUGAUUAGCAUAUGCCCUAGAAUGGUUGUGAUAUGUUAACAAGUCUAAAAACUUACCAACAAUACCACAAGAAGAUCAGUAGAACUUAAACUUAAAAUACUAUAGGUGUAUUUUGUACUACUAGUUACACGUAUACUAUAUUCUUAUACCUCUCUUCUCGCGUAGAUUUAAAUGGCUGGAUUCCAUCACGGCGACCCGUACUUUCCAAAUGAAGGCAAUGCCGGGUGGAUCGAAGAAGAGCCCGAAGAUGAGCAUCCAAUCCCUUUGGAUGAUCACCUCGCAGAAGGCUUUUCUGAUGGAUCCGACUCCGAGCCUGAAGUCAACAACCUACCGCUUGUAGGUCAAGCCCCGAACAACAACCCUCGACCAGCUUUUCCAGGUCCUACACCCAUGUGGGCAAACAACUUGAAUCGCUGGAGCGAUGAUCAGGGUUAACCCUUACCAUACUUUGGGGACCGAAGCUUUUACAACGUCAGUGAAGGUGGUUCUGCUGACCGAGCUCUGCCCGUCAUUAUCCGCAGAAUAGCUCGUAAUGUUGAGCAAGGUCGAGCAGCCAUCGACCGGGUCAUGGAGAUUGAUGCCAACUCAGGUGUCAACACAGUCCGCAUCCGCCGUCUUGAAGAAGACAUGGAACGGACCCGGAGAACCAAUGAAACCCUGCAGCAACAGCUGGCUGCCUCCCGAGCUGAAGUCUUGGAACUUCGAGCCCGUCAGAGGGCUCAGGAGCGACACCUUCAAGAGGUGUUUCGUCAAGUGUCAGACCUCAGGGCUCGCCCGAGGAAUUCCCAUCGCCGUUAGAUGAUGUCUAGUACAUCUCUGUCUUUUGGUUAAGGAAUAGCCUUUAACAUCUGUGCUCUAAGUAGCACUUGUCUGUAAAAUAUUCCUAACUUUCAGUACUCUAAUUAGGAAUCUAAGAACUGUCAAACUAUCUGUUUGGUAUGAUGUAAGACCUACUGUUAGGUCGAUUUUCCCUGAACCUAUUAACAUCAGUAAUACCAGUAGUGUUGAAAUCUAUCUAAUCUGUGGGAAGAAUUUGUACACUUGUGCUUUCCUACUAAUAUUCUUUGUUGUGAUUUCUAAAACUCAUUCAACUAUUGGGCUAUGGUUAGUUAGUCCAUGUGUCACUCUCACGUUGCUUACAAAUUGAUUCUUACCAUCUUUCCUAUCUUUAUAAACUUAUAGCUGAAAGAUGCCUCCUCGCAAAUGUCCCAGGAAUAACCCUGCACCUCCACCACCUCCUCCGCCUCCGGUCAUCGAUACUGCAGCCCUGAAUGCUGUCGUAGCUGCAGCAGUGGCAACUGCCAUGGCUCAGUAUCACUCAACUGAUGCCAGCAGAGGUGGAACCCCUGUNNNNNNNNNNNNNNNNNNNNNNNNNNNNNNNNNNNNNNNNNNNNNNNNNNNNNNNNNNNNNNNNNNNNNNNNNNNNNNNNNNNNNNNNNNNNNNNNNNNNNNNNNNNNNNNNNNNNNNNNNNNNNNNNNNNNNNNNNNNNNNNNNNNNNNNNNNNNNNNNNNNNNNNNNNNNNNNNNNNNNNNNNNNNNUACGCCGCAUGCACCUUCGAAGGAAAGGCCCUGAGAUGGUGGAACGUCCAUGUUAAGGCACUAACUCUCGUCGUAGCCAACGACAUAGGCUAGGAGACGAUGAAAGACCUCAUGAUGGAGGAAUACUGCCCAAGGGGCGUAGUCCAGAAACUGGAACAUGAACUCUGGAACCUGACCAUGAAGGGCACCAAUGUGAUCGCUUAUACUGCCCGAUUUAGCGAACUNCCCUCUGCCCCAAUAUGGUUCCCACCGAGGGGAAGAAGAUCGAGAGGUACAUAUGGGGGCUAGUGCCUCCGUAUCAGGGGAAUGUUCUAGCAUCAAACCCCGCUACCUUCGACAGUGCCAAACGAUUGGCACAGCGACUCAUUGACCAUGGAGUCAAGACCCCUGCAACCACAACCACUCUAGCCAUCCAGGAACCCUCCAAACCCGCUGAUACUAAGAGGAAAUUCUGGGGUGAAAAGAAGAAGCAACAGGCUGCCAAAAAGCAGCAAAUUGUGGCAAUGCAUGCACCAAUAACCCCUACUGCUGCUACUACUACUCCGGUGAGUCGGUAUGUUGGAAGUUUGCCCAAGUGCAACAAAUGCAACUACCACCACAACGGCCCCUGCCGUGAAAUGCAGUGCUCUAACUGCAACAGAAAAGGACACACCGUCCGUUUCUGUAAGUUCCCGGCACAACCUAUCAACCAAGUCCCUGGCUCUGGCGCGAGCCCGACCUGCUAUGGAUGUGGCGAAGCAGGCCACUAUAAGAGGGACUGCCCCAAAGCAAAGAAUGUUGGUGGAGCAGGAAGGGUACUAGCUAUAGGCCACGGGGAAGCAGUUGCUGACCCAACCGUGGUGACUGGUACGUUCCUCCUCGAUAACUCCUAUGCAUGCAUUCUGUUCGAUAGUGGAGCGGAGCGAAGCUUCGUAAACCAUAAAUUUGCUUGCAUGCUUAAUCAAACACCGCACGCACUCAAAGAACUAUUCGCAGUAGAAAUGGCUAAUGGAAAAACUAAAAGUACGAGUAGCAUAUACUUAGGUUGUACCCUAACUCUAGAUAACCAUUCAUUCCCAAUCGACCUCAUGCCAGUCUCAAUAAAAAGUUUCGACAUUAUCAUUGACAUGGAUUGGUUAAGCCUUCAACGCGCCGACAUCAUGUGCUUCGAUAAAGCAGUCCGUCUAAAUCUUCCGUCUAACGAAACUCUUAUAGUCUACGGCGACAAACCCGGCGCAAGUCUUCGAAUUAUAUCAUGUAUUCAAGCACAGAAGUAUCUGCGUAAGGAAUACCAUGCAUUCCUUGCUCACAUCGUCGACACGAGCCUCGAAACGAAAGAACUAAAGAACAUCCCAGUAGUGAGCGACUUCCCCGACAUUUUCCCAGAAGAACUACCCGGGUUACCUCCGCAACGACAGGUCGAGUUCAGAAUCGACUUAGUCCCAGGAGCUACCCCAGUAGCCAAGUCGCCCUACCGCUUAGCACCAGCUGAGAUGCAGGAACUCUCUGGUCAACUUAACGAACUGCUCAGCAAGGGCUUUAUAAGACCGAGUUUCUCACCUUGGGGAGCACCGGUCUUGUUCGUUAAGAAGAAAGACAGAUCAUUCCGUAUGUGUAUUGACUACAGAGAACUCAACAAACUGGCGGUCAAAAAUCGUUACCCUCUGCCUCGUAUAGACGAUUAAUUUGACCAACUGCAAGGGGCGAACUAUUUUUCUAAGAUUGAUCUNNNNNNNNNNNNNNNNNNNNNNNNNNNNNNNNNNNNNNNNNNNNNNNNNNNNNNNNNNNNNNNNNNNNNNNNNNNNNNNNNNNNNNNNNNNNNNNNNNNNUUAGAUUGGAGACAUGGAACACGGGGUGUACACUGUUUAGCUCCGUGGGUAGCUCCAGUUUAUACGCCACUGGACCUAUUCGGGCAACGAUCUCGAAAGGUCCAAUGUAUCGUGGGUUCAGUUUUCCCCGUUUUCCGAAAUGAAUGACUCCUGUCCAAGGUGAGACUUUUAACAGCACUCGAUCCCCGACCUCAAACUCUAAGGGCUUUCGUCGUUUAUCAGCGUAGCUCUUCUGUCGGUCGCGCGAUGCUUGUAAUCGAGCUCUGAUUUGAACUAUCUUUUCCAUGGUUUCACGAAUGAUCUCCGGUCCUGUUAGCGCCUUGUCAGAUGCUAGUGUCUUUGCUGGCUGGGUGUCACCCACCUCAACCCAACACAACGGUGAUCUACACUUACGUCCAUAUAGUGCUUCGAAAGGAGCGACUUUGAUGCUCGAAUGGUAACUGUUGUUAUAAGAAAAUUCAACUAAGGGUAAGUGGAUGUCCCAAGACUUCCCAAAGUCUAUCACACAUGCGCGAAGCAUGUCUUCGAGCGUCUGAAUGGUUCGUUCGCUUUGACCGUCCGUUUGUGGGUGAUAAGCGGUGCUCAUGUCGAGAUGGGUUCCGAGUGCUUUCUGAAGUGAUUGCCAAAAACGUGAAGUGAAUCUACUAUCUCAAUCUGAGAUGAUAGACACUGGUAUUCCAUGAAGUCUCACGAUUUAUCGAAUGUAUAAACGCGUCAGUCUCUCCAUCUUGUAUGAUUCUUUUAUUGGCAGGAAAUGGGCAGAUUUCGUCAGUCGGUCAACUAUUACCCAUAUAGUGUCUAAUCCGUCCGACGUCUUGGGUAGCUUGGUCACAAAAUCCAUAGAAAUCCCUUCCCACUUCCACUCGGGAAUCAUCAGUUACUAUAAUAAUCCCGAGGGCUUCUGGUACUCCACCUUUACCUUGGCACAAGUAAGGCACUUACCGACAUAGGUGGCAAUUUCUGCCUUCAUGUUAGGCCACCAAUAGUGUUGUUUAAUAUCCAAAUACAUCUUGUCCGAACCGGGAUGGAUGGAGUAUCGCGUCUUGUGGGAUUCCUUCAUGACUACCUCCCUAAAUCCUCCGUGUUUAGGGACCCAAAUGCGGUUCAUGAAAUGGUAUACUCCAUCCUCUCUCACCUCUAGAUUCUUUUCCAUUCCGCGUAAUGUUUCACUUGCUCUUUUUUCCGUUUUCAUGGCAUCUGACUGGGCUACCCCAAUCUAAGUGGUUAGGUGAGAUUGGAUGGUUAUCGAGAGAGUUUUUGCAUGACGAUUAGAGUACUCCUUCCGGCUCAAUGCAUCAGCUACUACAUUGGCCUUGCCGAGGUGAUACUUGAUUUCACACUCGUAAUCAUUUAAUAACUCAACCCAUCUUCGUUGACUCCUAUUCAGCUCUUUCUUAUUCAAGAUGUGCUGGAGACUCUUGUGGUCUGUGAAGAUGGUGCACUUUGUACCAUAAAGGUAAUGCCUCCAAAUCUUCAGAGCAAAGGCCAUAGCUCCUAAUUCUAGAUCAUGGGUUGUAUAAUCCACUUCGUGUGUCUUCAGUUGGCGGGAUGCGUAAGCUAUCACUCUUCCACGCUGCAUGAGAACGCAACCUAAACCCUGAUUUGACGCGUCACAAUAGACCAUGAAAUCUUCCGUUCCCUCUGGUAGAGAUAGCACUGGGGCACUGCAGAGGGCUUGCUUCAGGGUUCAGAAUGCAACUUCUUGUUUGUCCGUCCAUUUGAAUGGUACGCCCUUUUGUGUAAGUGAGGUAAGUGGCUUGGCGAUCUUAGAGAAGUUUUGAAUGAACCUCCUAUAGUAGCCCGCUAGGCCUAAGAAUUGACGAAUUUCUGUGGGUGUUGUCGGAACGGCCCAUCCUUCAACGGCUUUGACCUUAGAGGGAUCCACAUGAAUUCCAUCCUGGAUAACAACAUGGCCUAGGAAGUUCACGCUACGGAGCCAGAACUCACACUUGGAGAGUUUUGCGUAUAGCUUUUCCGAUCGCAGAGCUUCUAGGAUUUGUCGGAGAUGUUGGCCAUGCUCUUCCUCGCUUCGGGAAUAAACGAGAAUGUCGUCAAUGAAGACGAUGACAAAGUUGCCGAGGAAUGGUCGACUGAUUCGGUUCAUCAGUCCAUAAAUGNNNNNNNNNNNNNNNNNNNNNNNNNNNNNNNNNNNNNNNNNNNNNNNNNNNNNNNNNNNNNNNNNNNNNNNNNNNNNNNNNNNNNNNNNNNNNNNNNNNNNNNNNNNNNNNNNNNNNNNNNNNNNNNNNNNNNNNNNNNNNNNNNNNNNNNNNNNNNNNNNNNNNNNNNNNNNNNNNNNNNNNNNNNNNNNNNNNNNNNNNNNNNNNNNNNNNNNNNNNNNNNNNNNNNNNNNNNNNNNNNNNNNNNNNNNNNNNNNNNNNNNNNNNNNNNNNNNNNNNNNNNNNNNNNNNNNNNNNNNNNNNNNNNNNNNNNNNNNNNNNNNNNNNNNNNCUGAGUUGACUGGACAAUUCCUGCAUUUCAGCAGGAGCUAGCCGGUAGGGCGAUUUAGCGAGAGGAGUUGCUCCUGGAACGAGGUCAAUUCGGAACUCAACUUGUCUCUCUGGGGGUAUUCCAGGAAGAUCUUCAGGAAAUACGUCUGGGAAUUCACGUGCUACGGGAAUGUCUUGAAUGUUAACCUCUUCCUUGGAUUUAUCCACUAUGUGAGCCAGAAACGUCAAAUCGUUCUUUUGUAGAUGCUUCUGUUCCUGGAUGCACGAGAUGAGACGAAGGUUCGUGCUAGGUUUGUCUCCGUAAAUAACUAGGGUUUCGUGAUUGGGAAGGUGAAGGCGAACGACCUUCUCGUGACACAUAAUUUCAGCAUGGUGGGGGCUUAACCAGUCCAUGCCAAUAAUCACAUCGAAACUCCUAAUGGAAACAGGCAUUAAGUCUAUUCGAAAGACGUGUUGAUUUAAGGUUAGGGUACAUCCGGUGUAGAUUUCCCCAGUGGAUUCGGUUUUCCCAUUGGCCAUUUCCACCGUAAAGGUUUCAUUGAGCUUCUGGGGUUGUUGUUUUAAUAAAUGUUUAAACUUAUUGCUCACAAAACUUCGCUCAGCUCCGGUGUCAAAUAGGAUGCAUGCAUAAGUGUGGUUUAGGGGAAACGUACCGGUAACAAUAGCGGGAUUCUUAAUCGCCUCCCCCUGACCCAUGGUCAGCACCCUUCCUGUUCCUCCAUUUCCGGGAUUGUUGUUGUUAGGGAAAUCUCAGCAGAAAUGCCUAGUCCUCCCACACCCAUAGCAGGUGUGGCUAGGCCCUGCAUUGUUGCCGCCGAUGUUGAUGUUGUUGUUGUUGCAGUUGUUGUUGUUGUUGCUGUUUCCAUGUUGUUGAUUCUGAGGAGGGUAAGUCCUGCAAUACCUUGCCGUGUGCCCCUUCCGAUUGCAAUUGGUGCACUGCAGCUCCUUGCACUCUCCAUUGUGAUGGAAACCGCACUUGUUGCACUUGGGAAGAUUACAAGAAUAAGGUCUAGGAGCAUUCGAAGCAGCUGAGGCUAGAGCAUGUGGUGUGGCCGGAACUUGUGCGGUGGCAGCAUUAACUGCCACUGUCUGCUGCUUCUUAGAAGUCUCGGGGCCUUGACGCCCCUUCCUCUUGUUGUUCUUCCCCUUCUUGCCAUCACCUUCCUUCUUGCCUUCAGCCUCCGCUGGCUUCUCACCCAUCUUGUUGUUGUGGUCAUACAGCUUCUUCGCCAAUCUCUUAGCACUGUCGAAAGUUUCAAGAUUUGCAGCUAGCACGUUUCCUUCGAUCGGAGAGGUUAGUCCCCAGAUGAAUCGCUCGAUCUUCUUUCCUUCCGAGGUGAUCAUGCCCGGACAUAACAGAGAUAGUUCACUAAAUCUUGAUAUGUAGGUAUCGAUAUCAGCAUUCCGUACAGUGAGGUUCCAAAGCUCCUGCUCCAUUUUCUGAAUCUCACCACGAGGGCAGUAUUUGGCCAUCAACAUUUCCUUCAUUUUUGUCCAUGGCAUGGAAUUUGCUACGGGGAGUGUCAUGGCUUCCACGUGCCGGUUCCACCAAGUGAGCGCUUGGUCGACAAAAGUGCAUGCAGCAAACUUUACUUUCAUCUCUUCAGGGCAAUCACAUAUCUCGAACACCAAUUCCACCUUCUCGAUCCAUCGUUUCAGGGUGAUCACUCCUCCGGUACCGUUAAAGGUUCAUGCUUUGGCGUUUGUGAAGUCCUUUUAGGUACAGGUUUUGGUGGGUCCUUGAUUCAUUCCAUUGUUCGAACUCCCAGCCCCUUGCCCGUUGCCUCCUCCAUUGUUCCCUUGGUGAAUUUGUGCCAUAGCUGCGGUGGCCGUAGCAGAUAUGGCUGCCUGGAAUGCAGUGGAGUCAACUUCGGGUGGGGUUGGUCCAGGGUUUCCGCGAGUAGGUCGGCGAAGCAUCUUUCUGUUAUGAAACGGAAAGAUGUUGAGUGUACGUGGGUUUCUGUGAGGUUGUGAUCCUACUGACUAGGUGCUUGGUACGAACUUAAGUACUUCUACAAUUAGCAUAUAAUCAUGGAUUCGCAACACAUAGCAAUUUGUAAUGUCAUAAUAAAACACGUAAAAGUUCACUAAAAUUAUCCGCGUUUGAUACAUGAAAAUUUUGCUCGAAAGAGCAUACAUAAGUUAUAUUAGUUCGAUAGCAUAACGACUCUAUGAGUAGUGUAGUCACUUAAACAUAGAUUCGGGGUACAUAGCAUAGAUCCUAAUGACUUAGUACUAUAGACUGAUACUGCUAUCCCUAGUACUCCACGGAGUAUCCUAAGAUAGGGGGGUGAGAUCAUAUGCCGAAGUGUUGAGCCAACAACUGAGCCAUCUCCGCCAUGUCUCCAAUGACCUCAUCCCUCUCAUGCUCAGCUAGCACUGCACAUUCUUCCAUGGAGAACAGUUGUUGCCACAGGGCGGCAAUCUCAGCUUCGGGGGAGCGAUGCNUUGGUGGGGCGGGGUGGUCCGGUUGCGCCUCGUCUACAAACGACGUGGCGUGAUCUUUGCCCAGGUCUUGUCCUUCCUCUAUGUCAUCAUCGGUCUCCUCGAACUCGUAGUCGGUGUCUGUGUAUUCGUCAGGUCCGACGUCGUAUGCUUCCUCUUGAUUCCCUUCUGGUUCAUCUUCAAGCAUUCCGUGAGCUACUAGGACUUGAUGAAAUUGGAUACCCUGCUGCUCUCCCUCCAUGGAGACCGGGGGAAGGUAUAAACUAUCGUUACUCCUAUGACUCUACAACUAUGGUAUAGACUAAACAUAUGUUCUCUUUUUGGUGAUAAAGGGGUAUGUUUUUAGGUUCCCUAGCUAUCACGAUCUCCUCAGGACGUGUGGUAGUGAUACCUUGGUAGGAAUGUAAUUGAUCAGGCUACAUCCAUUCCUUGAUACAACUAAGAACAGUCCUAGAUUAACCGAGAUACUAGCAUUAUCUUGUUUGAUUCGGUGUUAGGUUCUCGUUCCUAAUACAAGCAAGGGUGUUUUAUUGUUAUGUUUUACUUGUUUUGUUCAGAGUUGUGUUAGUCCCUCUUUUGGUUUAUAGUUGCAUAUCAAUGUGUGGCUAGAUAUGCUAGUUCACUAUAAACAGAGCUCUGAUACCAACCUGUCACACCCCCGAACCAGACGGCGGAAACGUCCGAGGGCUAUUGUGACUCAAUUGAAUACCAUCACAAUGAAUAUACAUGAAACAUAACAUCAUUCAUCACCAUGCAUUGAAAUAUUACAACCGGUAUUGUUUACAUUCAGUACAUUGUUUCAAAACAUUACAAUUCCAAAACAUAAACCGUUCGAUAUUAUUUAAACAAACAUCAUGACAUAACUGGACACAUUUUUCUUCGAUUUACCUGUUACCUGAGAAUACAAGUAUUUUGGAAAACGUCAACAUAUGAAAUGUUGGUGAGUUCAUAAGUAAGGUUUGAAAAGAAAUGAUUUGUAUAGUUUUGAAAACCUCAGAAAAUCCGAUAUUUUCUAAAAAAAAUGUUGUAUAUGAGAAAAAGUGUGAAGAUCCGUAAGUAUGCUUGUUGAUUAUUAUAAACGUGAAUAAUUGUUAGACUUUGUAUGUAUAUCACAUAAUCAAGAGUGUUGAAUUUCCCAGGGAAAACCCGAUGUUUUCCCAAUACAUCAAAUUACGUGGCUUAGUUAGUAUUAUUCCGAUACGACGUUGUUUUCUAUAAUUCCAGGUGACAUUGGAUUAAUUAUGGGUUGUGAGUCGUUAUAAUCACGCAUUAAUGAAAUGACUAGUUUACAACUAUACAAACGAUCCCUUAGGCGUCGUCCGUACUACUCACUUAAUCCAACCACCCUGACUUCUCAUAGCCCCACAACCGAGGAGAAAAGAGGGUGCGAAGCCCCCGUUAUUUCCAUAAGUCGUUCAAGGCUAUCGUGAAUGCGAAAGGCACUUGGCCCGACUCGCAUUUGACUUCUCGACUUUGCUAGCAGUACCAAAGGACCCUUGGGGCCCAACAGCACAAUAAAGCUAUUGAAAGUCCUUUUACACGGAAUUAGGUCAUAUAAGGCCCAAUAACAUGUAAGCGCGUUCCCUUCGGGCCUAAAGAUCAUGUCAUUGGGCUAGCUAGGCCCAACAAACACGAUUUAAAACUUUCAAGCCGAAAGAUGGUGUAUUGACUUCUCGUAAACUUCCGCGUGUGUAUUAAGUGUCAUUGUUUAUUGAUUUUUUAUUCGUUAUUGAUUCGUGACCGAAUCAAUUCGUUUGGUAACGAUUUUUGGUGUUGAAGGUGUAUUUAUUAUUACGUUUCGCCGGUAGACGUAGUACUCGUAUUUUUAUUUUAAGGGAUCCAUUGUUUUAAGAAUGUGAGUUUAUCUUCUUAAGCCCUUCCUCGGAUAAAAUUUACACUUUUAACCCUUUGAGUAUAAAAGAAUUUCCGGUUUAGUCCUUAAACUAUUUUUCUUGACACUUUAGUAUCAAAACUUAUUGGAAAGACAUUUUUAGCACAAAUUUACUUGAUAAACAGCUUAAGUCCUUCAAAAAUGAAAUUUUUUCGGUUGAAACCUCCAUUUUCAAAACUUUUACAGUUUUGACCCAAAAUGGAAAUUUUUUGCAUAUUUGGUCCCUUUUUAAAUGGAAAAGCAUUUUUGACCCUUGAAAUAGAUUUGGUAUGCUAGUAAUCCCCUGUUUUAAAGAAAUGUGCAGUUUCAGCCCCUCCAACCUUCAGAAUAUAUAUUUGGGGCUUUAUUGGGCCGAAAAGCCCAUUUUGGCCCAUUAUGUUUAAAUUUCACAUUUUUAACCCUUCAAAAGUGUUAAUAUUCAAAAAAUACAUAUUAGAAACAGUUUAGUCUCAUCUCAACCUUCAGAAUAUAUAUUUUGUCGUUUUGGGCCCCAUAGUUUUGUAUUUUAGCAUUUUGAGCCCAAAAAUGGGUUUUAAGUCCAAAAAUGUUCAUAUUAACCAACUUGGUUAUUUUUGUAGACUUGAUUAGUGUGAAAUGGUAUAAGUUAUACUUAUUUCAUUAAUCAUAUUGUAGAUCUCGGUUUUUAGGUUCUUUUGGCUAGUAUAGACAUCACAAUCACAUAAGACCAUACAUAUAAGCAUAAAAAUCACACAAGGCAUACAUAUACUCAUAGAUCUACACAUUUGCUUGUAUUCUCCCCCACAAAACUUAUAAAAACCGAAAAAGAGGGGGUAUGAAGCUCACCUUUGGGUGUGGUUUCGGUUUUUGNAACAUCACAAUCACAUAAGACCAUACAUAUAAGCAUAAAAAUCACACAAGGCAUACAUAUACUCAUAGAUCUACACAUUUGCUUGUAUUCUCCCCCACAAAACUUAUAAAAACCGAAAAAGAGGGGGUAUGAAGCUCACCUUUGGGUGUGAUUUCGGUUUUUGGAAGAAAAUGAGAAGAAUUUCGGCCUUAGCAACCUUCCUUGGAAGAUUUCGAACUUGGAUGCUUCUAAGGUGCUAGAUCAUAAGUUUGAAUGAAUUAAGAGAUGAUUUUUGAAUGAAAUGAAAUAGCUAGCUUAUGGAUCUAAGCAAUAUCUUACCUUAGAUGAUGAUUUUAAUGGAAGAAAUCCCUUGAACACCUCUUAGAUUUCGAAAUUAUGGAGAAGAAAUGAGAGAGUUUCUUGAGAGAAUUGUGAGUGAAUUGUGUUUGUGUGUGUGUGUGUGCUUGGAUUCGGCCGAGAGCAAAAGGGAAAGGGAGGAGAAGAGAAGUGCUUGCAUGGGAAGAUGAGAUUGCAUGGAUGUUUGAAGUGCAAAAGCUUAGAUAUCCUCCAUAUAAAAAUGAGGUGGCAAACAGAGUCAACCCUUCUUCUUGGGUUUGUAGUUUGGGCCGAGAGAUAGAGAAGAGAGAUGGAGAUUUGGCCCUUUUAUGUUUAAGUCCAUAAUAUGGAGCCCAAGUUAAUGGUUUUCGCCCCAUUGGCCCUUUUUGAGUAAUUCACGGCCCAAAUAAAUAUAAAUAUGAUUCUUAUGGCCUAUUAGGGCUAAUUAGGUUAGUUAUGGCCCAAUGAGGUCCAUUAAGGUGUUUUAUUUCAUUCUAGGCCCAAUAUGGCCCAAAAUGUUAAAAUGAAUGAAAGUGGGUCCAAUUAGAGCCCAUUUAAGAGUUCUAAGCCCAAGAUGGUCAAAUUGGAAGCUUAUUGGUCCAUUGGGCCCAAUAGGGAAGUCCUAGUCCAAAAUGGACUUAAACAAGAACUUCUAGGGUUUCCAAUUGCUUAUUGACUACUUGAAAUGCUUGUAUGAGGUGUUUGAUUGAAAUUCUGUUGUUAUAGAGUAUGCAUCAUACAUGCUCUCAUGUCUUUGAUUCAUAAUUUGGCUUAAGUGUUGUAGUUACAAGGCACAAAAAUUUCUAGUUGUGACAUGUAUUCACUUACCUAGAUACUUGUACUUAGAACUACGAGGAUGAUUUAUUAGUACUUUCUGUGUAAAUUAUCUUUCCUAUCCUGGUUCAAUGGGAUAUCUCGGCGGGACUAACCAUUCCAAACCCUACUGAUUAGCACCAGUGGUCGAUGACCAUCUACGGAGGUCUAAGGUUACUAUUUAUAUUAGGUAGAUCGAUAUCAGGGGCUAACCCCUCCACCCACCUGCUGCUGCUACAGAGGACAAGUGGACAAUCUUCGGAUGUUCAUUAGGUUAUACCUUUCGCUUAUUGCGAUGUUGUGUUACUCCUAGUACCCAGUGAUAACACUUACAUUAAUACUUUUUCUGUACAAUCUUCGGAUGUUCAUUAGGUUAUCUAUUUCGCUUAUUGCGAUGUUGUGUUAGUCCUAGUACCCAGUGACAACACUUACAUGAGUAUAUUUUCCUGUUUACUUUAUUUUGUGAUAUUGCACAUAAACGAUGAGUUAGACUAAGUACUUUAGUACUAGUUAAUAGAAGGAAAAACUAUCAUUUUACUUAC
rnacentral:lncRNA from 1 species